UCCCGGUUAACCCGGGCAGUCUCAUUAGAGUUCCCACCUUCACGUGUUGGCAACUAAUGAUAAGGGUUGCGCUCGUUGCGGGACUUAACCCAACACCUCACGGCACGAGCUGACGACAGCCAUGCAGCACCUGUGCACCGGCCCCGAAGGGAAACGACAUUUCUGCCGUCGUCCGGUGCAUGUCAAGCCUGGGUAAGGUUCUUCGCGUUGCAUCGAAUUAAACCACAUGCUCCACUGCUUGUGCGGGUCCCCGUCAAUUCUUUUGAGUUUCAGCCUUGCGACUGUACUCCCCAGGCGGUAUACUUAUCGCGUUAGCUACGGCACAGCCGGGGUUGAGACCAGCUACACCAAGUAUACAUCGUUUACGGCAAGGACUAC
rnacentral:misc_RNA from 1 species